rnacentral:rRNA from 1 species
CUACGGGAGGCAGCAGUGGGGAAUAUUGCACAAUGGGGGAAACCCUGAUGCAGCCAUGCCGCGUGUGUGAAGAAGGCCUUCGGGUUGUAAAGCACUUUCAGUUGUGAGGAAAAGUUAGUAGUUAAUACCUGCUAGCUGUGACGUUAACAACAGAA